rnacentral:rRNA from 1 species
UACGGAGGGUGCGAGCGUUGUCCGGAAUCACUGGGCGUAAAGGGCGCGUAGGCGGCAGGCCAAGCGUGCGGUGAAAGUCCGGGGCUCAACCCCGGAUCUGCCGUGCGGACUGGUUUGCUAGAGCACUGUAGAGGCGAGUGGAAUUCCGGGUGUGGCGGUGGAAUGCGUAGAGAUCCGGAAGAACACCGGUGGCGAAGGCGGCUCGCUGGGCAGUGGCUGACGCUGAGGCGCGACAGCGUGGGGAGCAAACAGG